AUGAGCGCCCCUGUGCAGCUCCUCAGCUUCCUGAUGCUCUGGCUCUCAGGUGCCAUGAGUGAUAUCCAGCUGACCCAGUCUCCAUCCAUGUCUGCAACUCUGGGACAGAAAGUCUCCUUAUCCUGCAAGGCCAGUCAGUACAUUGGCAGCUCUUUGCACUGGUAUCAGCAGAAACCAGGGGAAGCUCCUAGGCUCCUGAUCAAGUAUGCAUCAAACUUGCAACCUGGUGUCCCUUCCAGAUUCAGUGGCAGUGGAUCUGGCACAGAUUUCACUUUCACCAUCAGCAGACUGGAGUCAGAGGAUGCUGCCACUUAUUACUGUCAACAGAGACAUAAUUAUCCUCCCACAGUGAUACAGGCCAGAACAAACCCCCCCAGAGAAGACAUUGAUGAGGCUUUGUAG